GCAGUCGAGGGGUAUAUGUCUUCGGAUAUAGAGACCGGCGCACGGGUGCGUAACGCGUAUGCAAUCUGCCUUUCACAGAGGGAUAGCCCAGAGAAAUUUGGAUUAAUACCUCAUAGUAUAAUCAAGCCGCAUGGUUUAAUUAUUAAAGUCACAACGGUGAAAGAUGAGCAUGCGUCCCAUUAGCUAGUUGGUAAGGUAACGGCUUACCAAGGCAACGAUGGGUAGGGGUCCUGAGAGGGAGAUCCCCCACACUGGUACUGAGACACGGACCAGACUCCUACGGGAGGCAGCAGUGAGGAAUAUUGGACAAUGGGCGCAAGCCUGAUCCAGCCAUGCCGCGUGCAGGAUGACGGUCCUAUGGAUUGUAAACUGCUUUUGUACGAGAAGAAACAUCCCGACGUGUCGGGACUUGACGGUAUCGUAAGAAUAAGGAUCGGCUAACUCCGUGCCAGCAGCCGCGGUAAUACGGAGGAUCCAAGCGUUAUCCGGAAUCAUUGGGUUUAAAGGGUCCGUAGGCGGUUUAGUAAGUCAGUGGUGAAAGCCCAUCGCUCAACGGUGGAACGGCCAUUGAUACUGCUGAACUUGAAUUAUUAGGAAGUAACUAGAAUAUGUAGUGUAGCGGUGAAAUGCUUAGAUAUUACAUGGAAUACCAAUUGCGAAGGCAGGUUACUACUAAUGGAUUGACGCUGAUGGACGAAAGCGUGGGGAGCGAACAGGAUUAGAUACCCUGGUAGUCCACGCCGUAAACGAUGGAUACUAGCUGUUGGGGGCAACUUCAGUGGCUAAGCGAAAGUGAUA
rnacentral:rRNA from 1 species